rnacentral:rRNA from 1 species
UUGACCUGCGCUGUAGCUCCUCAAAGUCAGUGGCGGAGCCGGUUCACAACUCCAGACGUAGUAGAUCUUAUUACAUCGCCUGCAGGAUGAAUCCGGUCCCCUGCCGUACCAUUAUGCAGUAAUCGUACACCAUACAAUAAAAAAGGUUGACCUCGGAUCAGGUAGGAAUACCCGCUGAACUUAAGCAUAUCAAUAAGCGGAGGA